AUAUAUAUAUAUGGUCAGGAUGUUUUUUCUCUGCUGAUUCGGACUAGGGAGUUGUGGGAAUCGCAUGUGAUCGUGGCAUUCACGGCGUACGAUGUAUUGAUAAGGUCAUUUCCUUGGAUUAUUAGAUGCCGUGUUGGCCGGUGGCAGCUAGGUGUACACUGGCUCACACAAACUGGUUGCUACAGGAAUUGUCACGAGUAUAGUUUGCAGUUAGGUGUGCACUUGAAGCCUCUCUAUUUCCGUUAGCAUUUCAAUGCAUUCCAGCCCCAACUCCCAACUCCCAACUCCCACGAUCUCUGCUUGUUUGUGCACAUUGGUACUGAAUUAUGAACGGACUUUUGCUUGCUACCAAGUCCUGAAAUGACCACAAUUAUUUCAUUCCAUGUUUCUCUACUACGAGUCGAUGAAGGGGAUUGAAUAUUUCCUCAUUAUAUAUUAUAUGCGAUUUUAGGAUAUCUCUCACGUUUGAUGACUCUAGUGGUUGGUAAUUAUUGUAAAUACGUACUAUCAUGCUCUUACUUGCUCAACAUUUAAUGAGCGUUAUUCACAUUUACCCUUUUCCAGCCGAAGCGUUUGGUCUCGCCAACAAUAGAUCCCUUCAUUUGCUCCAAGUGACCAAAUUGAUGGAGUAGAAGCUCAGCCGUUAGAAAUUUGAGCUCUGAGACUACUCGGUAUUUGUAUACUUCUCGGCUCUUCAAUCUGUCCCACUCGAAGGGCGUAAAGAUCAAUCAAGCGCUGUAACGUCUUCAAAUAAUUUAAAGUAACAGGUAAUCAGCGUUCCGUAACAAAAGACAAAAAUUCUCUUCAUGCAGUUUAAAUUUAAAUUUACUUGACGAUGUACUAUUCAUAUCUUAGAAUGUUGCAGUGUCGUAUCACACCUAAGUAUAAUACUUCUGCUGUACUCCAAUUUGCCCUUCGACCAGUCAGCAUGGGAACAUUACCGUCACACAUUGCCGCUAUCCAAUCCAGGGGUAAACUGCAAGGAAUGGCAAGGAAGACUCGCAGGAUGGUAAUCUCAGGCGAAAGAUUCAUGCUCAGAUGCGUCAACGCAUCCUAUUUGCAAUCGCCAACGAUGAAUCACGUUGAUCCGGACAGGUUCGAUGGAUGUAAGAUAGGCGUCUUCAACGCACUGCAUAUAUCAGUACAGAUUGUCGUCGCGUGCGACAAUAUCGUUUUCCUUCAAUCAAUCGCUCUUUAUACUUCAACUUAUCGAUUUCUGUCUAUGAGAUCCGCGACACAUCUCGCUGAAUUGCAAUGCUGUCUUGUCUCUCUUUUUUCUGUUAUGUGUUGUUUGCAGUCGCGAGUGGUUGUGGUUUUCCUCGUUUCCUGUGGCGUUGAGGCGAGUUGAUCAGUUGAGGGGUUUGAGUUCAGACACAGACAUCCUUGUGGGGCAAUUGGUGGCGUUCUCGCCGAGCAAGAGCUGAUUUCUGUUUGACGGAUAGCCUAAAUUGAGCUUUCCAGUCCUCAACAUGGUGCACCAGGGGAAAGCGCUUCGGCGUAUUACCAGCAUGAAAGAGCGAGUCUAGAACUCUUUGCAGGAUAAUCGUAAUCAACUUCUCAACCUACUGCAGGGCAAUGUUGACGACAUAAAGAGCAGCGCCUUUGGGAAACUUAUCAAUAAUUGCCAUUUAAAGUUUCCAAGAGCUGCCUUUGGGUUCAACGUCCCUAUUUAGCGCUUGAAGCACGGGGUUUACCUCUCAUGUAACGUGAGAUCAAAAUACUUCACGACAGCUCUGUUCCUAAUGUUGGAAGAAGAGUUCGCAUGUACAGGAAGCCAUAGUUUCGGCCCCUUGGGUUGGAUUGGCUGUCCGUCCGAGGCCUGGAAUCUGGGAGUGUGUGCGCGUCAAAUGGGCACGGCGUGGAGUUUCUGAAUCGUCAUUUGUCACCCGAGCUUUUUCAUUCUCCGGAGAGCAUGGAGCCUUCGUUUCAGUUCCUUCGAGUUCAUACCUACCGAGGAAAGGUACUGAGUGAGUAUAAUCAAUUGUUCUGCGUGAAAUGUUUCAGUUUAAGCAGCCGUUCAUAAUUACUAUUGUUUGACAAGGUGAGUGUGAAGAGGUUAUUGUAUCUGGUUGUCAGCACAGAUUUUGAUGCUGAACAAUCGGAUUGCAAGCUUUUCAAGGUUUCGUCCACAACUGAUGAAAGCUGAAGAGUUUCUGUUGAGAAUUCCAGACACAUUAGAAAAGUUUUAGGCGGGAAUUCCCAUGGUGUUAAUUCCCGCAUUGAGUCAUACGUUUGGGACAUGCAAAUCAAGCUUUGAAAUUUUUGCUUUCUUUACUCCGAGUCACGAUGGUUUUUGUUGUUUAAAAGGAGGGAGUGGCUGGAUUUUAAUGCUCUUCGGAACUUCCCAGGUGUUGCAAGUUCAGUAUGGGGUGUUUACCGGAUGAGCUUUGGACGAAGAUUUUAGGUCUAGGAAUAGAGAAAGAAGUUCUGGAUUACAGGGAUUUGUGUUCUUUGGCGUUUGUGUGUCGUCGCAUCAAACAAAUUUCUUAUUUUGACCGCAUGUGGCGCUCUUUGUGGGAGCGAGAUCAAGUAAAGCUCAGUGUCGGGUCUUCGUCGCGGAACUUGGUUGUGGAACCUGGCAUGGCACGGAAGGAAAAUGAUGCAAAAGCUUUUAGAGAUUUGUAUAGAAUUCGGUUCGAGGAAGUGAGGGCUGCCAAAAGGACUGCCAAAAGGCGCAACGUGCUAAGGGUAAAAUACUGGUUGAAAAACGCAUACACUCCACAUGUGAUGAAAACUCGUAGAAUUCUCAUCGAAGAUGAUAUUUGAAUCAGGGUCUGUUAGAUCUGUGUAGGUGUGUCUCUUUGCAGGUAUACGUGGAAACUAUAUGCCGAACGUGUAAUGAGACUCUCCGGGGUUUACGAGUUAUGAAAGAUUGUUUCCAAAUUGCACAGGCAGGAAGCCGGAAGAUAUUUGGAGAUGUUUUACAUUCUCAUGUUCCGUAAACUGGUCUGACCUACACGUGGUACGUCUUCAGAUUUUAGAGAUGUAGAAGUUCCCAGUACAAGGGUUCGAUCCAAUUUUUGAAAAGAUGCUUGCAUAAGUAUUUGUUCAUCAAUUUCAGACAGAUUGGUUCUGUCGCUUGAAUUGGGAAGUAUGCCUCUCCAAGUUUAAAAAUAACAUGCUAAAAAUUAAAAUCACCACUAGGUGUAUUCCGAGUGAAGGAUGUAAGACUUCUGAAGCUUUGAUAGAUCUUUAUCAAUAUCAGUUUUAGUUAUUGGUAACCAUUUCGGUGGGCAUACUCCAAUCCAAGAUUUAUCAGACACAGAUCUCAAAUGGUGAUGAAGAACACUCAAAGCUUGAAGUUAUAUCAAUAAAGUCUUCAUGGCUUAUGGUCUGAAUGAUAACAUUUCGAAUCCAAAACUGGUGGCCAUUUUUACAACAGUUUCUCAAUAACAACUCUGCUCUUCUUAGUAAAAUUGGCAAUUUACCAAAGAUUCUCAGGCACACACAUUCAAAUUCUUGGUUAUGCUUCACGUAGUCGUAUUUAGAUUGAAUUCGUCUAAAUUUACAUACAUCCUUCUCGAGAUCUUUCUUGACUUUAAUGAGAACGAUUUUUAAAGCGACACAUUGAUACAUGAAAUGUAAUUCUUAAGAUUUUCUAGGAGGCUUUCUAGAAGAUUCUUCAAUGAGUGAGCUUACAACAACAUUUUUAAUAAUCUUUUCUAUUAUAAUUGGAACACUGAGUAUGUGAUUAGGAUCUGAAAUUCGUGGUUAAUAAAAGAACAAAUAUACACUUUCUUUUUUAUUAAAUGUCAAAAUUAUAAGAAUUACUAUAAAACGAAGCAUUACCGUUGUGACAGAAUGUUUCAUUUAAGAUUUUUCAUAAAAGCCAACUGGUGUUGAACAAGACUCACAAUAUGUCUUGAGCUGGGAAAAAUCAUGUGCAAGUCUUUUCAAGAAAAGAUGAAUCCACUUGUUUCGAAAAGGGAUGGAAAUUCAUAUCCUAUAUCAAGGCAACAAAAACAUCACAAACGUUUUAAAAACAAGUUUUUGAAAAUAUUCUAUUCCAGCAAUUAUAAAUGAUCCUAAACCAAAAACUUUAAAAAUAAACAUUUCAGAUAUUUCAACUAUAUAAUUAAACAUUGUUCUUUCAACUAUGCACAAAAAUACAUCACCUGAUUAUAAGAUCUUUGAAUAUAAAUAUACUAAAUAAAAUUGAAACAAAAGAGUUACCAUUAAAGUUUAAUUUUAACCAAGUUAAAUUUUCAGAGGAAGUUGGUUACCAAUCAAUAUGAUUCGCUAAGAAGUACUUACCUUGGGGUUGUAAGGCGAAUGAAGUUUUGAAGACAGUUGAGAGCAUUCAUCGUAUAUCUUUUCUUUGAAAUGUUCAUCAUUUGCACUUGCAUGGCAUUUGCAUUGCAUAUGUUACUAAUUCUACGUGGUGUACAACAUCAUCUCUGGGAAUAUGUCAUGACGCCACAAGUACGAACUUCAACAGUUUCCGAGACAGUUCCUCGGUAUGAAAAUCUCCAAAACUUAGCUUCGGAAAGUAUCGUGCCAACUUCUUACCUGAGGGUGUAGCAACUGCUGGGAUUACAUCUCCCGAAAUGCCAACGAAUGCAUCCUCGUGUACUUUUCAGGAGUUGACGCGAACCUUGUGUCCUCAAGAAAUGAGAAAUAUCUUUGUAACCAGUACAAAGGGCUCAUUGUGGAUGCUAUAUCCAAGACUUCGAAGUGGCUAUUGCUAUCGAAAAUAACUGAUUUAAGAGCUAAAAACUCACGAUGAUCAGAGUCGAAAUUGUCAGGAUUGUCGGCGAUUAUGAUGUUUGACCACGAAGAAAGACGCUUAUGUAACCUGAACGCAAUAUUUCGAAGCAAUACUUCACUUGUUCAUAAGUACAAUAUGCUAAGUCUCAAAUCACAAGAACAAACCAUCUCAUCCCAAAGUAUCCAGUUAACUUUAGGAUCUGUUACGUUGACUAAGAUGAAACUAUGAUAUUGUGCAUGUUGCCUGUUUAUUAACGAAUUUGGCUCCAUUGGAAUUGAAAGAGAGGAUGUCCACAAGAUCUCCAGAGACAAGAGCCUCCAGGAACCCACAUAAUAUUUCUUGUCUCACAUUCAAGUUGGUGGUGCCCUCAGAUUUCACAAAGUUAGACAUAGAGCUCCCACAAUCUAUCAAAAUCUUGUUGUUUUAUUGGCGGAGCAACCCUGUACCUGCCAACAGGAGGUAAAGAUCAUUAUGUACGAAUGACGAUAUAUAAUAAAUUCAUGUGAAUAUAUAACGGCCCGGUCACGUUGGAGUUGCGCGAAGUUCAAAAUCACCAGUGAGGCCAAACAUAAGAAUGAACCAAAUUCAUGAGUUUGAAGGUAAUAAGGACCAUACCAAGGCCGAACUCCAAGGUCGAAAACUGGGUAUGUGACAUGAACAUGUGUUGUCUUGGCUAAAUUGGCGUGGAUGGCGUCGGGAGAUUUGGACAAACAAUCUCCGCUAUCCAUCAUCAUGCUGGUUUGCUUCAAGGCUGGAAAUUCAGCCCUUUUCCUGUUAACAAAAGGUAAAGAAUCCAUGAAAAUCAACAGCAAUCUUUGAUACAUUCUGGUGUACCUUUAAGAGCCAAGCACAACAGAAUUUCUCAAGGUUAAGAUCUUUGUGUGUAGAAUCAAAACUCGAGAAUUCUAGCUAGUUUCAAAUUCGAAAUCCUGAACAACCCAUUCUCCUACGAAAAGAUCUUUAAAACGUAAAAGUAUCACAAAACCACAAAGAGGUCAUUUCAGACGAAUCAACAAAGUGCCGCCGUAACCAACAUCAUAACGAAUUUCUUUCACAUGAUUCCAGAACCAUUUUAAUCUGUAUGAAGGUGAUGAAGAGCAGAAGACGGCGGUGAGUCAGGUAGUGUUCGAGUAAACGUACAUGUAACUCUGUUGGCAGUCGAGAAUUUUAAAUACUGGGUUAGAGCCAUUGUUACCCCGUGAACCAAAAUGGACUCGUGUAGUGUUACUAGCCGCCAGGAGAUUCGAUGAAUUAAGUGCUCGUUUACUGCACUCAACCCAAGUACACGUCGAGGCGCGAGUUGUAUGAAAUUCUGCACAAAGUACAUUAUCCUCAUCAGAAAAUUGCAAGAGGGAUUACGAGAUUUUGGUAAAACAUUACUACUUCUGUGAAGAUAAAGAAUUGUUUUUUUCUUUC